GGGUUGGAGAUGGUCUAAAGCUAAGCGGUGUCUAUACCGGAUUACUAACCUUGGUUUUAAAUCAACAGCCGGAAAUGCGCAAAGACAGGGGUAGUAUUGUAGUUUACUUAUAAAACUGUCAGCGUCUGAUCUUUGUUUUGAUUGCCCGCGACUACUCUUUAACUUCUUCCACGAUUCAGAUUCGAGUUUCGGAGAAGCUCUCUAUCUAUCUAUAUGUCCUCCUUAUCGUCACAGAAUAGAGAUCCUUCACUACUUUGUCUUCUUCGUUCCCGGUCGCGAUCAACUCGUUUGCGAUCUUCAGAUUAUGUAGGGAUUCGAACCAGCUCUAUGGAUCAGGCGGAACUGUCUACGGAGCAGGUAUUGCAAAGGGACAUUCCAUGGGAGACUUACAUGACAACUAAGCUGAUUUCAGCUACAGAUCUCCAGCUCCUAAGGCGCUACGAUAAAAAAACUGAGAGUGCAAGGGCACAGUUGCUGGAUGAAGUAAA